CUUAAUGAACAAGAAAACAAAGCGUACCUUCUCUCCUGAGUUUAAGCAGGAAUGCGCCCAACUUAUCGUUGAUAAAGGUUACUCAUACCGGGAAGCCAGUGAAGCUAUGAGUGUUGGUUCCUC
rfam:Escherichia coli 536, complete genome.